rnacentral:tRNA from 1 species
GCCUGGGUGGCUCAGUGGUUGAGCAUCUGCCUUUGGCUCAGGUCAUGAUCCCCGGGUCCUGGGAUCGAGUCCCACAUCGGGCU